UGUAGCAAUACAUGGGCGGCGACCGGCAAACGGGUGCGGAACACGUACGCAACCUUCCUUUAAGUGGGGGAUAGCCCAGGGAAACUUGGAUUAAUACCCCGUAAUAUUACGGAGUGGCAUCACUUUUUAAUUAUAGCAGCAAUGCGCUUGAAGAUGGGCGUGCGCCUGAUUAGGUAGUUGGCGGGGUAACGGCCCACCAAGCCUUCGAUCAGUAACUGGUGUGAGAGCACGACCAGUCACACGGGCACUGAGACACGGGCCCGACUCCUACGGGAGGCAGCAGUAAGGAAUAUUGGUCAAUGGACGAAAGUCUGAACCAGCCAUGCCGCGUGGAGGAUGAAGGUCCUCUGGAUUGUAAACUUCUUUUAUUUGGGAAGAAACCCACGAUUUCUAUUGUGGUUGACGGUACCAGAUGAAUAAGCACCGGCUAACUCCGUGCCAGCAGCCGCGGUAAUACGGAGGGUGCAAGCGUUAUCCGGAUUCACUGGGUUUAAAGGGUGCGUAGGCGGGCAGGUAAGUCAGUGGUGAAAUCCCCGAGCUUAACUUGGGAACUGCCGUUGAUACUAUCUGUCUUGAAUACUAUGGAGGUAAGCGGAAUAUGUCAUGUAGCGGUGAAAUGCUUAGAUAUGACAUAGAACACCAAUUGCGAAGGCAGCUUGCUACACAGUUAUUGACGCUGAGGCACGAAAGCGUGGGGAUCAAACAGGAUUAGAUACCCUGGUAGUCCACGCCCUAAACGAUGAUUACUCGACAUCAGCGAUACACUGUUGGUGUCUGAGCGAAAGCAUUAAGUAAUCCACCUGGGAAGUACGACCGCAAGGUUGAAACUC
rnacentral:rRNA from 1 species